CUUUUCCAGGCGAGCCAUCCCUUCCCUGCACAACCAAUUGUCGGACAAAAAUCAGGUGUGCACUGCGCAACGUCAUCUGUGGCAAGGUUCACAUAACCACUGAUACGUGGACGGUAAGCACAGGCAGGGACGCUAUAUCUCCCUAACUGCACACUGGGCAAAUGUAGUGGAGGCUGGGCCUGAGGCGGAUAGCAGUUUGGCGCAUGUCCUUCCGCCGCCGAGGAUUGCAGGGCAUUUCUCUUUGCCUCCUGUUGCCUCCUCCUCCUACUCUGCUUCCUCCUCCUCUACCACCUCCUCAUCCGGUCAGCGUAACACCUUCACCACCAACUUCAGCACAGUCAGGGGGAAACGACAGCAGGCUGUUUUAAAACUCAUAUGUUAGGGGGAAAAACCUCACACCGCGCAGGAGCUGUGGACAGGCAUGGAACAACAGACCGAUCAGUGGUUGUUGCCCCUGAGCCUCAAGCCCGGCCUGGUGGUGUGCGAUAAUGGACGAAAUCUCGUAGCAGCUCUGGGCCUAGCCGGUUUGACGCACAUCCCUUCCUGGCGCAUGUGCUGAAUUUGGUGGUGCAGAAAUUCCUGAAAAACUACCCAGAUAUAUCAGAGCUGCUGCAGAAAAUGCGGGCCAUCUGUGCGCACUUUCGGCAUUCUCACCCUGCUCCUGCUGCUCGUCUGUCUGCGAUGCAGCGUAACUUCGGCCUUCC